rnacentral:rRNA from 1 species
AUGCUGAGAAGGGCACGUCGCGCCGUGACACCGUCUGUGGUUACUGCUCCCGACAAGGUCACCCAGAGUCUGAUUGUUGCCAGAAGAAGCGAGACCAGAGGCGCUCCUCCUCCAGUGGGAUUCCUGUGUCUUUCUCGACUCCGUCACUCACUGAUCAGGACAUUGUUCGUCUCAAGCGUCUUCUUGCUUCCUUAG